rnacentral:rRNA from 1 species
UAAAUAUGAGGUUUAAAUAAAUAUUUCCCGAAUUUUUAAGAGCUAAAAUAUUAUAUAUUUUAAUGUUGAAUAAUUAUUUAAAAUAGUGUUUUAGGAGUGAGACUUUAGUCGUUUUGAAAUAUAUCUGGUUUUUUAAGAAAUAAAUUUAAUUUACUAAAAUUGGAAAAUAUUAUUGUUUAUAAAAUGGUUUUAGGAUUUUAGGAAAAUUUAUAGGGAUAAGCUUGUAAAUUUAUUUUUAUAAAAAUUUUUAUAAUAAAUAUUAAAUAGGAUUAGUAGUGUUCAUUUUUAGGAGUUUUUAAUAAAACAGUAUUUUUUAAAAGGAUUUUUUGUUUUUUAAAUUUUUUAUUAAAAUAAUUAAUUGAAUGGAAUUUUUGAUGAAAUAAUGAUUAAAUUAGUAUAGAAUUUUGUAUGAAUAAGUUAUAGGUUAGAGGUAAAGUAAAGGAAUUCGGCAAAUUGAUUUUCUGCCUGUUUAUUAAAAACAUGGUUUUUUGAGAUAAUUUAAGAUCUGACCUGCCCUAUGAUUAUUUAAAUGGCCGCGGUAUAUUGACCGUGCAAAGGUAGCAUAAUCAUUAGUUUUUUAAUUGAAAGCUGGAAUGAAUGGUUUGACAAGAAAAUAUCUGUCUCUACUUUAUUUUUUUUUUGAAUUUUAUUUUUAAGUGAAAAAGCUUAAAUUUUGUUGAGGGACGAGAAGACCCUUUAGAAUUUUAUAUAGGGUUAAAUUAAAAUUUAAAGGAGUGGUUUUUUUAAUUUGAAUAUCUAUAUUUUGUUGGGGUGAUGGAAAAAUUUAAAUAACUUUUUUUUUAUUAAUUCACUGAUAAGUGAUUAUUUGAUCCAUUAAUAAUGAUUAUAAGAUUAAAUUACCUAAGGGAUAACAGCGUAAUUAAUUUGGAGAGUUCUAAUCGAUAAAUUAGUUUGCGACCUCGAUGUUGGAUUAAAAUGAACAAUUGGUGUAGGAGCUAAUAGUUAAGUCUGUUCAACUUUUAAAAUUU